GCCGCGGUAUUUUGACCGUGCAAAGGUAGCGCAAUCACUUGUCUCUUAAAUAGAGACCUGUAUGAAUGGCUAGACGAGGGCUUAACUGUCUCCCCCUUCCAGUCAGUGAAAUUGAUCUACCCGUGCAGAAGCGGGUAUAAUUAUACAAGACGAGAAGACCCUUUGGAGCUUAAGGUACAAAGUUCAACCACGUUAAACGACUCCACAGAAAGCAAGAACUUAGUGGCAAAUGAAACUUUACCUUCGGUUGGGGCGACCACGGAGGAGAAGAAAGCCUCCGAGUGGACUGGGUUAAAUCCCCAAAGCCAAGAGAUACAUCUAUAAGCCGCAGAACAUCUGACCAAGAAUGAUCCGACUGAAAGGCCGAUCAACGAACCAAGUUACCCUAGGGAUAACAGCGCAAUCCUCUCCCAGAGUCCAUAUCGACGAGGGGGUUUACGACCUCGAUGUUGGAUCAGGACAUCCUAAUGGUGCAGCCGCUAUUAAGGGUUCGUUUGUUCAACGAUUAAAGUCCUACGUGAUCU
rnacentral:rRNA from 1 species